rnacentral:piRNA from 1 species
UGAGAAUCAACCUGGAUGAACGGUGUCUU